rnacentral:rRNA from 1 species
UACGUAGGGGGCAAGCGUUGUCCGGAUUUAUUGGGCGUAAAGAGCGUGUAGGCGGCCAGGCAGGUCCGCUGUGAAAACUCAGGGCUUAACCCUGAGCCUGCAGUGGGUACGGGCAGACUAGAGUGUGGUAGGGGAGAUCGGAAUUCCUGGUGUAGCGGUGAAAUGCGCAGAUAUCAGGAGGAACACCGGUGGCGAAGGCGGGUCUCUGGGCCGAUACUGACGCUGAGGCGCGACAGCGUGGGGAGCAAACAGG